rnacentral:rRNA from 1 species
UACAGAGGGUGCAAGCGUUACUCGGAAUCACUGGGCGUAAAGCGCGCGUAGGCGGUUUGUUAAGUUGGAUGUGAAAGCCCCGGGCUCAACCUGGGAACUGCAUCCAAAACUGGCGAGCUAGAGUAUGGUAGAGGGUAGUGGAAUUUCCUGUGUAGCGGUGAAAUGCGUAGAUAUAGGAAGGAACACCAGUGGCGAAGGCGACCACCUGGACUGAUACUGACACUGAGGUGCGAAAGCGUGGGGAGCAAACAGG